rnacentral:tRNA from 1 species
GGCGAGGUAGCUCAGCUGGUUAGAGCGUCGGAGUCAUAAUCCGGAGGUCGUGGGAUCAUGCCCCACUCUCGCUA